rnacentral:rRNA from 1 species
UACGGAGGGUGCAAGCGUUAUCCGGAUUCACUGGGUUUAAAGGGUACGUAGGUGGGCAGGUAAGUCAGUGGUGAAAUCUCCGGGCUUAACCCGGAAACUGCCAUUGAUACUAUCAGUCUUGAAUACCGUGGAGGUAAGCGGAAUAUGUCAUGUAGCGGUGAAAUGCUUAGAUAUGACAUAGAACACCAAUUGCGAAGGCAGCUUACUACCCGAAUAUUGACACUGAGGCACGAAAGCGUGGGGAUCAAACAGG